AGCCUGGUGGUGUAGUGGGAGCACACUCCAUCAUUACGCGCUUCUGAGCAACGAACUUGGAUGAGAGGUCGAGGUUGGAAAGGUCAUGGGUUCAAAUCCCAUCCAGGCUG
rnacentral:tRNA from 1 species